rnacentral:rRNA from 1 species
UAACCUGCCUUGGAUGGGGAAGUAACAGUUGGAAACAGCUGCUAAUACCGCAUGAUGCAGUUGAGUCGCAUGGCUCUGACUGCCAAAGAUUUAUCGCUCUGAGAUGGACUCGCGUCUGAUUAGCUAGUUGGCGGGGUAACGGCCCACCAAGGCGACGAUCAGUAGCCGGACUGAGAGGUUGGCCGGCCACAUUGGGACUGAGACACGGCCCAGACUCCUACGGAAGGCAGCAG